UUAAGCGACUAAGCGUACACGGUGGAUGCCCUGGCAGUCAGAGGCGAUGAAGGACGUGCUAAUCUGCGAUAAGCGUCGGUAAGGUGAUAUGAACCGUUAUAACCGGCGAUUUCCGAAUGGGGAAACCCAGUGUGAUUCGUCACACUAUCAUUAACUGAAUCCAUAGGUUAAUGAGGCGAACCGGGGGAACUGAAACAUCUAAGUACCCCGAGGAAAAGAAAUCAACCGAGAUUCCCCCAGUAGCGGCGAGCGAACGGGGAGGAGCCCAGAGCCUGAAUCAGUGUGUGUGUUAGUGGAAGCGUCUGGAAAGGCGCGCGAUACAGGGUGACAGCCCCGUACACAAAAAUGCACAUGCUGUGAGCUCGAUGAGUAGGGCGGGACACGUGGUAUCCUGUCUGAAUAUGGGGGGACCAUCCUCCAAGGCUAAAUACUCCUGACUGACCGAUAGUGAACCAGUACCGUGAGGGAAAGGCGAAAAGAACCCCGGCGAGGGGAGUGAAAAAGAACCUGAAACCGUGUACGUACAAGCAGUGGGAGCCUCUUUUAUGGGGUGACUGCGUACCUUUUGUAUAAUGGGUCAGCGACUUAUAUUCUGUAGCAAGGUUAACCGAAUAGGGGAGCCGAAGGGAAACCGAGUCUUAACUGGGCGUUAAGUUGCAGGGUAUAGACCCGAAACCCGGUGAUCUAGCCAUGGGCAGGUUGAAGGUUGGGUAACACUAACUGGAGGACCGAACCGACUAAUGUUGAAAAAUUAGCGGAUGACUUGUGGCUGGGGGUGAAAGGCCAAUCAAACCGGGAGAUAGCUGGUUCUCCCCGAAAGCUAUUUAGGUAGCGCCUCGUGAAUUCAUCUCCGGGGGUAGAGCACUGUUUCGGCAAGGGGGUCAUCCCGACUUACCAACCCGAUGCAAACUGCGAAUACCGGAGAAUGUUAUCACGGGAGACACACGGCGGGUGCUAACGUCCGUCGUGAAGAGGGAAACAACCCAGACCGCCAGCUAAGGUCCCAAAGUCAUGGUUAAGUGGGAAACGAUGUGGGAAGGCCCAGACAGCCAGGAUGUUGGCUUAGAAGCAGCCAUCAUUUAAAGAAAGCGUAAUAGCUCACUGGUCGAGUCGGCCUGCGCGGAAGAUGUAACGGGGCUAAACCAUGCACCGAAGCUGCGGCAGCGACACUAUGUGUUGUUGGGUAGGGGAGCGUUCUGUAAGCCUGUGAAGGUGUACUGUGAGGUAUGCUGGAGGUAUCAGAAGUGCGAAUGCUGACAUAAGUAACGAUAAAGCGGGUGAAAAGCCCGCUCGCCGGAAGACCAAGGGUUCCUGUCCAACGUUAAUCGGGGCAGGGUGAGUCGACCCCUAAGGCGAGGCCGAAAGGCGUAGUCGAUGGGAAACAGGUUAAUAUUCCUGUACUUGGUGUUACUGCGAAGGGGGGACGGAGAAGGCUAUGUUGGCCGGGCGACGGUUGUCCCGGUUUAAGCGUGUAGGCUGGUUUUCCAGGCAAAUCCGGAAAAUCAAGGCUGAGGCGUGAUGACGAGGCACUACGGUGCUGAAGCAACAAAUGCCCUGCUUCCAGGAAAAGCCUCUAAGCAUCAGGUAACAUCAAAUCGUACCCCAAACCGACACAGGUGGUCAGGUAGAGAAUACCAAGGCGCUUGAGAGAACUCGGGUGAAGGAACUAGGCAAAAUGGUGCCGUAACUUCGGGAGAAGGCACGCUGAUAUGUAGGUGAAGUCCCUCGCGGAUGGAGCUGAAAUCAGUCGAAGAUACCAGCUGGCUGCAACUGUUUAUUAAAAACACAGCACUGUGCAAACACGAAAGUGGACGUAUACGGUGUGACGCCUGCCCGGUGCCGGAAGGUUAAUUGAUGGGGUCAGCGCAAGCGAAGCUCUUGAUCGAAGCCCCGGUAAACGGCGGCCGUAACUAUAACGGUCCUAAGGUAGCGAAAUUCCUUGUCGGGUAAGUUCCGACCUGCACGAAUGGCGUAAUGAUGGCCAGGCUGUCUCCACCCGAGACUCAGUGAAAUUGAACUCGCUGUGAAGAUGCAGUGUACCCGCGGCAAGACGGAAAGACCCCGUGAACCUUUACUAUAGCUUGACACUGAACAUUGAGCCUUGAUGUGUAGGAUAGGUGGGAGGCUUUGAAGUGUGGACGCCAGUCUGCAUGGAGCCGACCUUGAAAUACCACCCUUUAAUGUUUGAUGUUCUAACGUGGACCCGUGAUCCGGGUUGCGGACAGUGUCUGGUGGGUAGUUUGACUGGGGCGGUCUCCUCCUAAAGAGUAACGGAGGAGCACGAAGGUUGGCUAAUCCUGGUCGGACAUCAGGAGGUUAGUGCAAUGGCAUAAGCCAGCUUGACUGCGAGCGUGACGGCGCGAGCAGGUGCGAAAGCAGGUCAUAGUGAUCCGGUGGUUCUGAAUGGAAGGGCCAUCGCUCAACGGAUAAAAGGUACUCCGGGGAUAACAGGCUGAUACCGCCCAAGAGUUCAUAUCGACGGCGGUGUUUGGCACCUCGAUGUCGGCUCAUCACAUCCUGGGGCUGAAGUAGGUCCCAAGGGUAUGGCUGUUCGCCAUUUAAAGUGGUACGCGAGCUGGGUUUAGAACGUCGUGAGACAGUUCGGUCCCUAUCUGCCGUGGGCGCUGGAGAACUGAGGGGGGCUGCUCCUAGUACGAGAGGACCGGAGUGGACGCAUCACUGGUGUUCGGGUUGUCAUGCCAAUGGCACUGCCCGGUAGCUAAAUGCGGAAGAGAUAAGUGCUGAAAGCAUCUAAGCACGAAACUUGCCCCGAGAUGAGUUCUCCCUGACCCUUUAAGGGUCCUGAAGGAACGUUGAAGACGACGACGUUGAUAGGCCGGGUGUGUAAGCGCAGCGAUGCGUUGAGCUAACCGGUACUAAUGAACCGUGAGGCUUAACCU
rnacentral:rRNA from 1 species